rnacentral:rRNA from 1 species
CUGCUGUCGCAGCCCGGACACGGAAGUUAAGCUCUUCAGCGCCAAUGGUAGUUGGGAGUCUCCCCCUGUGAGAGUAGGACGUCGCUGGGC